GGGCUAUCUAAUCUCUAGCUCACAAUGGGAUGACUUUACAGCAGAAUGUCAGAAUCACUGGCUAAAGUCAUUAGGUGCUUACAGCUCUCAGGAGCUUUCAGGUAUGUUUUCAUCACUACUGUGGAAUAUCCUAGUUCUUUUCAAAUAUUUACAGAUGUGAAAUGUUUAUGUGCUUGUAUUUCCUUGGGGGCAAAUGCGUGUACUUUCUGAAAGGUGCCAUGACUGAGAUUUGUUUGACCAAGAUGACCAGGAGUCCUGGAAAAGGCAGAGAGAAGAAGAGGACCUGGUGAAAACUAGGAGAAUAUUGUAAUUGUACUAUUUGUUUGUCUGCUAUGAUGUUACUCUAUUCUGAUUCCAGUAUCUGAAGACAGUUCACUUGUGGAAGAGUUAAACACUCGUCUAAUUUGGGAUCUACACUACAGUCUGGGGCUGUGAUGAAACCACUGUUCAGUGUUGCAGAUGCCUGUCAGGAAUUCUAGGACAGCAAAAGGCAGAUGAAUCAACCUAUCCAGCUUACCUUCUAUUUUUGCUGGUUGCUGUGGCCCUUCAUGAACUGGGACAAAAUUCAUCCUACAGAAGACGAUUACCCGUGGAUGCAGCACUGGGACGAGACUCAGAAGAUUUAGAACAAAUCCCCAGAUCAGAGCAUCUUACCUGGUGACUUUGAGUGAAUCACCAUGCCUCAAUUCAGAAACACAUCCAAACAUGUGAAUAAUUCCAUGUUCAUGCAACCAAAUGUUUGGUGGCCAGAUGCUUGCACAAUGGGCUCCACCAAUUAAUGGAGUAUUGUAGCCUAGGCUGACAUUCAAGAAUCAUUACGGCUGGAAAAGACCUUUAAGAUCAUCUAAUCCAACCAUGAACCCAUCACCACUGUGCUCAUAAACCACGUCCUGACCUGCCUGUUUCGCACCAUAACCUGCACCCACUGUUGAGAUUGGUGCUUGGCUCUGCUUUCCUGUGGACUUUAAUAAGGUAGGUUUACCUAACACUAACUUGGACCACAUCUACAAAUGAUGGUGAUAAAAAGCACUCCUGUAUUUGAGUUGAUACACAUCAGAGAACUCCACUACCAAACCAAAAACCACACUCAAACAUGUUCCUGGGAGAAAAGUAGGCUGAAGAUAUUGUCUCUUUAUUCCAGACAGGGCCUGUUCAUUGUGGCUGGUGAAGAUGAUUAUCUCAGAUUCAAAACCAUUAGGAAUAACCUUUCCAGCUGCUUGAAAGAUUGUUCUUAAAAAAUAGAGCAGUUAUUACCUAUACACAACUUAUAUUCUCAAAUACAGUAUUUCUCUGGGGAAGAUUAAUAUUCGCUUAUUUUCUAGUGCAAGAAGUAAUGUUAUUAGAACAAUGUGGUGACGAAGGAAUAGGUUUAGGUAUGAGUCAACUGUAUCCACAAAAUUAUCAUUUUUUGAAUAUAGAGAAUAUCGACAUUAUGCCAAAUAAAAACUGUGAGUCUCUUGUUUGCCAACAUGAUCCAAUGCCUACCAGAGGCAUGGUUCUGUGUCUCCAGCCCUUUGGACAGCCCAUUGAUGCUGAUGACCCUAUGAAAAAAGUUUGUUUUGAAGCACCUGAUGUAUGCCUUCCUCUAAAGCAUACAGUCUGCUGAUUUGUGUGAACUACAGUGGCAGUAAUGUACUACCAGGAUUUCAACAACAACUUGCUUUAAGUAUUUGCUCUAGAUCACAUUACCAACUCUACAUUCAUCAAAAUAAGCAAGUGUUUGUGUUAACACGUAUGUUUUUGUGUUCACAUACAAAGCAGCUUCCUUUCUAAACAAGACAGACUGGAUUCAUGAUGAUAGCCCUGGUGAGGAGCCAUGCAGGGAUGGCCUGAGAUGGGCAGCAGCAAACUUGAUCGUGUACUCAUAGCAUUCUCAGAGAAUCAGAAGACUUUGGGCUUCUAAUAGAGUUAGGCAGAACUGUGUGACCAUGGUUAUGUGGAUCAUGAAGCGG
ensembl:lncRNA